rnacentral:rRNA from 1 species
UUUCGGGGAGGACGCUCACCACUUUGUGGUUCAUGACUGGGGUGAAGUCGUAACAAGGUAGCCCUAGGGGAACCUGGGGCUGGAUCACCUCCUUAUACGAAGAU